CCUAGAGGACGACCUCUAGGACGACCUUAAGGACGAUUUCUAGGACGACCUUG
rnacentral:ncRNA from 1 species